rnacentral:rRNA from 1 species
AGAGUUUGAUCAUGGCUCAGGACGAACGCUGGCGGCGUGCUUAACACAUGCAAGUCGAACGGUGAUGGCCAGCUUGCUGGUCUGAUCAGUGGCGAACGGGUGAGUAACACGUGAGCAACCUGCCCUUCACUCUGGGAUAACCACGGGAAACGGUGGCUAAUACCGGAUAUGAGACGUACACGCAUGUGUCGCGUCUGGAAAGAUUUAUCGGUGAAGGAUGGGCUCGCGGCCUAUCAGCUUGUUGGUGGGGUAGUGGCCCACCAAGGCGACGACGGGUAGCCGGCCUGAGAGGGCGACCGGCCACACUGGGACUGAGACACGGCCCAGACUCCUACGGGAGGCAGCAGUGGGGAAUAUUGCACAAUGGGCGCAAGCCUGAUGCAGCGACGCCGCGUGAGGGAUGACGGCCUUCGGGUUGUAAACCUCUUUCAGCAGGGAAGAAGCGCAAGUGACGGUACCUGCAGAAGAAGCGCCGGCUAACUACGUGCCAGCAGCCGCGGUAAUACGUAGGGCGCAAGCGUUGUCCGGAAUUAUUGGGCGUAAAGAGCUCGUAGGCGGUUUGUCGCGUCUGCUGUGAAAACCUAAGGCUCAACCUUGGGCUUGCAGUGGGUACGGGCAGACUAGAGUGCGGUAGGGGUGACUGGAAUUCCUGGUGUAGCGGUGGAAUGCGCAGAUAUCAGGAGGAACACCGAUGGCGAAGGCAGGUCACUGGGCCGCAACUGACGCUGAGGAGCGAAAGCAUGGGGAGCGAACAGGAUUAGAUACCCUAGUAGUCC